rnacentral:rRNA from 1 species
ACUCCUACGGGAGGCAGCAGUGGGAAUCUUAGACAAUGGGCGCAAGCCUGAUCUAGCCAUGCCGCGUGAGCGAUGAAGGCCUUAGGGUUGUAAAGCUCUUUCAGCGAGGAAGAUAAUGACUGUACUCGCAGAAGAAGCCCGCUAACUCCGUGCCAGCAGCCGCGGUAAUACGGAGGGGCGUAGCGUUGUUCGGAAUUACUGGGCGUAAAGCGCACGUAGGCGGAUCAGAAAGUCAGAGGUGAAAUCCCAGGGCUCAACCCUGGAACUGCCUUUGAAACUCCUGAUCUUGAGGUCGAGAGAGGUGAGUGGAAUUCCGAGUGUAGAGGUGAAAUUCGUAGAUAUUCGGAGGAACACCAGUGGCGAAGGCGGCUCACUGGCUCGAUACUGACGCUGAGGUGCGAAAGCGUGGGGAGCAAACA